GUGCUCGCUUUGGCAGCACAUACUAAAUUAGAAUAAUACAAAGAUGAGCAGGCCCCUAUGCAUGGAUGACAUGCCAGUUUGUGAAGUGUUCCAUAUUUAA
rnacentral:snRNA from 1 species